GACGAACGCUGGCGGCGUGCUUGACACAUGCAAGUCGAGCGGUAAGGCCCUUCGGGGUACACGAGUGGCGAACGGGUGAGUAACACGUGGGUGAUCUGCCCUGCACUUCGGGAUAAGCCUGGGAAACUGGGUCUAAUACCGGAUAGGACCACUGCCUGCAUGGGUGGUGGUGGAAAGCUUUUGCGGUGUGGGAUGGGCCCGCGGCCUAUCAGCUUGUUGGUGGGGUGAUGGCCUACCAAGGCGACGACGGGUAGCCGGCCUGAGAGGGUGGCCGGCCACACUGGGACUGAGAUGCGGCCCAGACUCCUACGGGAGGCAGCAGUGGGGAAUAUUGCACUAUGGGCGCAAGCCUGAUGCAGCGACGCCGCGUGAGGGAUGACGGCCUUCGGGUUGUAAACCUCUUUCAGCACCGACGAAGCGCAAGUGACGGUAGGUGCAGAAGAAGGACCGGCCAACUACGUGCCAGCCGCCGCCGUAACAC
rnacentral:rRNA from 1 species